rnacentral:rRNA from 1 species
GACGAACGCUGGCGGCGUGCUUAACACAUGCAAGUCGAACGGAAAGGCCCUGCUUUUGUGGGGUGCUCGGGUGGCGAACGGGUGAGUAACACGUGAGUAACCUGCCCUUGACUUUGGGAUAACUUCAGGAAACUGGGGCUAAUACCGGAUAGGAUCUCCUGCUGCAUGGUGGGGGUUGGAAAGUUUCGGCGGUUGGGGAUGGACUCGCGGCUUAUCAGCUUGUUGGUGGGGUAGUGGCUUACCAAGGCUUUGACGGGUAGCCGGCCUGAGAGGGUGACCGGACACAUUGGGACUGAGAUACGGCCCAGACUCCUACGGGAGGCAGCAGUGGGGAAUAUUGCACAAUGGGCGGAAGCCUGAUGCAGCAACGCCGCGUGCGGGAUGACGGCCUUCGGGUUGUAAACCGCUUUCGCCUGUGACGAAGCGUGAGUGACGGUAAUGGGUAAAGAAGCACCGGCUAACUACGUG